rnacentral:rRNA from 1 species
UACGAAGGGGGCUAGCGUUGCUCGGAAUCACUGGGCGUAAAGGGUGCGUAGGCGGCUUUGUAAGUUAGAGGUGAAAGCCCGGAGCUCAACUCCGGAACUGCCUUUAAGACUGCAUCGCUUGAAUCCGGGAGAGGUGAGUGGAAUUCCGAGUGUAGAGGUGAAAUUCGUAGAUAUUCGGAAGAACACCAGUGGCGAAGGCGGCUCACUGGACCGGUAUUGACGCUGAGGAGCGAAAGCGUGGGGAGCGAACAGG